rnacentral:rRNA from 1 species
GUGUCAGCAGCCGCGGUAAUACGUAGGGGGCGAGCGUUGUCCGGAAUCAUUGGGCGUAAAGAGCUCGUAGGCGGCUCAGUAAGUCGGCUGUGAAAUCCCGAGGCUCAACCUCGGAACUGCAGUCGAUACUGCUGUGGCUAGAGUCCGGUAGAGGAGAGUGGAAUUCCCGGUGUAGCGGUGGAAUGCGCAGAUAUCGGGAGGAACACCAGUGGCGAAGGCGGCUCUCUGGGCCGGUACUGACGCUGAGGAGCGAAAGCGUGGGGAGCAAACAGGAUUAGAUACCCUGGUAGUCCACGCCGUAAACGUUGGGCACUAGGCGUGGUGGUCCGAUCAACGACUGCCGUGCCGAAGCUAACGCAUUAAGUGCCCCGCCUGGGGAGUACGGCCGCAAGGCUAAAACUUAAAGGAAUUGACGGGG